ACGAACGCUGGCGGCGUGCCUAAUACAUGCAAGUAGAACGCUGAAGAGAGGAGCUUGCUCUUCUUGGAUGAGUUGCGAACGGGUGAGUAACGCGUAGGUAACCUGCCUUGUAGCGGGGGAUAACUAUUGGAAACGAUAGCUAAUACCGCAUAACAAUGGAUGACACAUGUCAUUUAUUUGAAAGGGGCAAUUGCUCCACUACAAGAUGGACCUGCGUUGUAUUAGCUAGUAGGUGAGGUAAUGGCUCACCUAGGCGACGAUACAUAGCCGACCUGAGAGGGUGAUCGGCCACACUGGGACUGAGACACGGCCCAGACUCCUACGGGAGGCAGCAGUAGGGAAUCUUCGGCAAUGGGGGCAACCCUGACCGAGCAACGCCGCGUGAGUGAAGAAGGUUUUCGGAUCGUAAAACUCUGUUGUUAGAGAAGAACAAGUGCUAGAGUAACUGUUAGCGCCUUGACGGUAUCUAACCAGAAAGCCACGGCUAACUACGUG
rnacentral:rRNA from 1 species